rnacentral:rRNA from 1 species
UGCAGUCGAACGAGAAAGUGAGAACAAUCCAUGAGUAAAGUGGCGACCGGGUGAGUAACACGUGACUAACCUACCCUAGAGUGGGGAAUAACCUCGGGAAACCGGGGCUAAUACCGCAUAACAUCGUCGGGGGAAGAUCCUGAUGAUCAAAGGAGCAAUUCGCUCAAGGAGGGGGUCGCGGCUGAUUAGUUAGUUGGUGAGGUAACGGCCCACCAAGACAGAGAUCAGUAGCCGGCCUGAGAGGGCGCACGGCCACACUGGAACUGAAACACGGUCCAGACUCCUACGGGAGGCAGCAGUGGGGAAUUUUGCGCAAUGGGGGAAACCCUGACGCAGCAACGCCGCGUGGAGGAUGAAGUCCCUUGGGAUGUAAACUCCUUUCGAUCGGGACGAUAAUGACGGUACCGGAAGAAGAAGCACCGGCUAACUCUGUGCCAGCAGCCGCGGUAAUACAGAGGGUGCAAGCGUUGUUCGGAAUUAUUGGGCGUAAAGGGUGCGUAGGCGGUGCGGUAAGUCUGUAGUGAAAUCUCUGGGCUCAACUCAGAGUCUGCUAUAGAAACUGCCGUGCUCGAGUAUGGGAGAGGUGAGUGGAAAUCCCGGUGUAGCGGUGAAAUGCGUAGAUAUCGGGAGGAACACCUGUGGCGAAAGCGGCUCACUGGACCAUAACUGACGCUGAUGCACGAAAGCUAGGGGAGCAAACAGGAUUAGAUACCCUGGUAGUCCUAGCCCUAAACGAUGAUUGCUUGGUGUGUCGGGUACCCAAUCCCGCCGUGCCGAAGCUAACGCGAUAAGCAAUCCGCCUGGGGAGUACGGUCGCAAGACUGAAACUCAAAGGAAUUGACGGGGGCCCGCACAAGCGGUGGAGCAUGUGGUUCA